AGUGAACGCUGGCGGUAGGCCUAACACAUGCAAGUCGAACGGCAGCACAGUAAGAGCUUGCUCUUACGGGUGGCGAGUGGCGGACGGGUGAGGAAUACAUCGGAAUCUACUUUUUCGUGGGGGAUAACGUAGGGAAACUUACGCUAAUACCGCAUACGACCUACGGGUGAAAGCAGGGGAUCUUCGGACCUUGCGCGAUUGAAUGAGCCGAUGUCGGAUUAGCUAGUUGGCGGGGUAAAGGCCCACCAAGGCGACGAUCCGUAGCUGGUCUGAGAGGAUGAUCAGCCACACUGGAACUGAGACACGGUCCAGACUCCUACGGGAGGCAGCAGUGGGGAAUAUUGGACAAUGGGCGAAAGCCUGAUCCAGCCAUACCGCGUGGGUGAAGAAGGACUUCGGGUUGUAAAGCCCUUUUGUUGGGAAAGAAAAGCAGCAGGUUAAUACCCCGCUGUUCUGACGGUACCCAAAGAAUAAGCACCGGCUAACUUCGUG
rnacentral:rRNA from 1 species